AUUGAACGCUGGCGGAAUGCUUUACACAUGCAAGUCGAACGGCAGCACGGACUUCGGUCUGGUGGCGAGUGGCGAACGGGUGAGUAAUAUAUCGGAACGUGCCCAGUCGUGGGGAUAACGUAGCGAAAGUUACGCUAAUACCGCAUACGAUCUACGGAUGAAAGCGGGGGAUCGCAAGACCUCGCGCGAUUGGAGCGGCCGAUAUCAGAUUAGGUAGUUGGUGAGGUAAAGGCUCACCAAGCCGACGAUCUGUAGCUGGUCUGAGAGGACGACCAGCCACACUGGGACUGAGACACGGCCCAGACUCCUACGGGAGGCAGCAGUGGGGAAUUUUGGACAAUGGGCGCAAGCCUGAUCCAGCAAUGCCGCGUGCAGGAUGAAGGCCUUCGGGUUGUAAACUGCUUUGUACGGAACGAAACGGUGAGCUCUAAUACAGUUUGCUAAUGACGGUACCGUAAGAAUAAGCACCGGCUAACUACGUG
rnacentral:rRNA from 1 species